CAACUACUCCCUCUGUCCCAAAUUUCUUGUCUUAGAUUUGUCUAUUUACGGAUGUAUCUAAUACUAAAAUGUGACUUGAUACAUCCAUAUCUAGACAAAUCUAAGACAAGAAUUUUGGGACGGAGGGAGGACUUU
rfam:Triticum aestivum genome assembly, contig: Triticum_aestivum_CS42_TGACv1_scaffold_646930_T_2DS-0.227314_2DL-0.159280